GGACUCAGGGGGUAGGGGUGGAGCAGGGAUUUAGGUUGGAGAGAGGGGUGUGUGUGUGUGGGUGUGUGUGUGUGUGUGUGAGAGUGACUAGAGACAAUUCUCCAGUCUCUGCGUUGUAGCUCUGAUCUCCAUUCUGAAUAAGGAGAAGUCACUCCUGCGACGGCUGCUGUGGGCCCUGAGCAGGCUCAAUAAGAACUUUGGAUUUCUUCAGAAAAAAAAGUUGCCCUGGCUGCUGGCAAAGAGCCAAGUGUGUGUGGAUGUGUCUCUGCAGAAUCACAGCUCGGGGGGAGGGAGGGGAGUAAAAGGACAACAGGGAGCAUGUGCGCGAUCGGCAGCUAUGGAGCAUGUGCAGUAGGGGGUAACAGACAGACCAGUCAGUUAAGCAGCUGGUUGGUCGGCAGCCACUCGUCCUGGUCGUACCUUGUUUUAAAGGUCAGAGCUGUCAAUCCGAAUUCUGGGGUAGUGGUCAAGACUGAGCAUGUGCAAGUGAGGGAACUGUUUCUAAAAAUAGGAAGAUACAGAGGUACCAUGUAGCAUAACCAUAAAGGCCAGUUGCCAGCAAUAGUUUCGAAAUCCGGAGGCUAGGUCUGAAAAGGAGAGAGGCGUGCAGGAAGAGCCGGGAAACCAGCAAGAGAAGCCAAAGAAGAACUGCGGCAGAGAUAGAAAAGAAAGCUGGAGCAGGGCAGAGCUGACUGAGCAGGAAUUGAACAGCAGCCAUAGCAGUGAUUUGACUUUUAAAAGAAAACAGCAACAGAUUUAUAGCGUAAGCUUAAUAUUCUUUUAAUGAUGGUUUAGUGUAUAGGGCAGUAUAUAGGGUUAGUAUGUGUAUGCUUUAAGUGUGUGUGUGUGUUUUAAGUACACUUAUAGCAGCAGCUAGUGGGGAGGGAGGCUAAAGGGGCACCACCCUAAGGGUGCCACGUGACCUCCCCACGUGACCUCUCCCCGCCUCACCCCUAGCCUGGGGACCAGGAUCUCCCCACGUGACUCCUCCCAGCCCCAUCCCUAGCCCAGGACCCCCACGCUUUCCCCAUCCUGCCCUUCCCCCGCCCCGGCCCCAUCCUACCAUACCCGGGGCCGGGGAGGUAUCCCAAGUCCGACCCCUGAGCUCUGCGCUGGGCCAGGCUGUGCGCCCACGCAGCUGUGUGCUCUUGCCGGUCCCACCCCCAGAGCUCAGGCAGGGGGCUGGGCAGUGCAGCCACAGCGUGCUCCGGCUGGCCCCAGGCUCUGGGAGUGGGCUGGGCAGCGCAGCCACGCGGCUGUGUGCUUUGGUCGUCCCCGUCCCCGGAGCUCGGACAGUUGGCCAGGGGCAGCACGUGGCCCUCGGUGCGACCCCCAUGCAGCACCAGUGUAUAGAUAUAUAAAUUUUAAAGUAAUUUAAGAUCUGUUGUCAGUGAUUUGUUGCAAACUGGCUACAUGCAAUGAAUUACUUUGCUUAGAAUCAUUUGAACUAUAUGCUAUUGUAGUUUAAGUGCUCUUUAAUUUGCAAUAUGGGAUUUGUGCCUCGAGGAUUUUUCUGCCUUAAUUAGGAGUUUUAGGAUGCACUUUAUUGGGGAUUAUUUAUAUUAAUUAAUAUUAGUUAUAUUAAUCAGAUACUUUGUUUUGAAAAGAAUACUGCCUAUGCCAAUUACAUUAUCAGAAGGUUAUAUCCGUGAGCUUUAGUGUUUCCUUAACAACCCCAGGAACUUUUACCUCACUAAUAACAGACUAAGGGGGGAAUAGGCGGCUUAUAAAGAAGUGCCCCAAAAGCCAUUUUUUGGGGUAACAGUAACCCUGUAUUGUCAGUUAUGGCAGUUGGACGUGGAGUUGGGAAAUAAAUACAGCCCUGUAUGCGGAGGAGGGGUGGGGGGGAAAUGGCUCCCACAUAAAGUAGCUUCACUAAUAAACAUUUGUAUCCAGGGUCAGUACCUGAAAACCUACUUUCUUCCCCCCUUGAAAUAUUCCUCCUACAAAGGCAAAAAAAGAACCGAUGGCUGGAAGUGGAAGAAAGACUACUUCAAACUGAAAAUAAGAACAAAUUUUCUACAGUGAGGGUGAUCCACCACUGGGACAAACUCCCAAGGGAAGUGAUGGAUUCUCCAGCUCCCGAUGUCUUCAAAACCUGUCGGGUCACCUUUAUGGAAGAUGCUUUAGCCAAACACAAGUUGUUGGGCUGCAUAUUGGGGUAAUACAUUGCAAUAUCAUGGCCUGUGUUAUGCAGAUGAUAUAGAUGAUUGACUGGUCUCUUCUGGCCUUAAUAUCUAUGAAUUUCUGAAGCCAUUUCCUGAUCUUUCUGCACCUUUACCAACGUUCCCUCUCCAUGUGGGUGUUUGGUGCAGUAGUUGGUUGUGUCAAGAUUACAGACCAGGAGAACAUUUUAUGGAGAGGCAGACACAGCAUCAGAUUAUGCAGGAAUUCUCUGCCGUAAUUGGUGAAGAAAAUUCCCUUCUGCACAAAACUGCAUCUUAUAAUAAAACCCCUUGGAAUGAGUAAACACAGGUGUCACUAGUGUUCAGCACGAACAACAAAAGCACAAAUUCAUUAGUUAAAAUAUCUGUAGUAUAAUAACUAGCAGCUUUUUUGCUUAUUUUACAAUUUCAGAGUCAAAGUGAACAAGUGCAACAUAUGUCAAUUGAGUAAGUGUCAUCUCAUUAAUGGUGAACCAUGCAUCUUAAUCAUUACACUGGAGAUUAAGUCCAAUCACAGAAAAAUUCUAAAAUGUGACCUUCAGCUGUUUCCACCAGCAAUUUCUGUGCAUGCAAAAAACUGUUAGGAUGACAUACAACACUGGGAAGCAUUUUGUACGUUUCCAAAAACUUGAUCAAACCGAGAGUUGGCAUUUCUGUGAUGCAAUUCUGGAAUUUAAAAGGAACGGAAUUGGAGAUAUUAUAGCACAGAUGAAGAGUUCUCCAAGUAACUUGAAAAGUAAUGUAUACCAAACCACACUACUACUGUGCAACUGUCCCAGCAACAUUAAAGACUGAUUUAACUAAUUGUAGUGGGUGUGGGAAUAGGGUUGAAUUAUCCCUUUAAGUUGUUUGUGAGCCCUUUGAUGGUACUUACUGUUGUCCAUGUUUUAGAAGAUAUCUGAAAUCAGUCUGACCACAGUGUGCACUAAGUUAGGUCUUGUAUGUUUGUAUAUAAAUAAUAAAUAUAUUUUGGGGGGCCAAUUGUAUCUGAUAGUUUCUUCAUAUAAUUUUUGUUGUGCACUAUGGAAAAGACGUGACACUAAUGAUAACAUUUUAGAUAUUUAUACAACUAUGAAAUAAGUUCUGAUAAAUGUAGCCAUUUUGCCUGUUCUUAAUUUGUCUAAGAAGGAAGCAGGGUUAGUCCUCCAGACUUCUUAAAUUGUAACUGUUGUCCAUAUAAACUAUGUAAAAACAUUAAAUCUGGAUCUGCAACAA